rnacentral:rRNA from 1 species
UACGUAGGAGGCGAGCGUUGUCCGGAUUUAUUGGGCGUAAAGAGCGUGUAGGCGGUUAGGUAGGUCCGUUGUGAAAACUCGAGGCUCAACCUCGAGACGCCGAUGGAAACCAUCUGACUAGAGUCCGGAAGAGGAGAGUGGAAUUCCUGGUGUAGCGGUGAAAUGCGCAGAUAUCAGGAAGAACACCCGUGGCUAAGGCGGCUCUCUAGUACGUGACUGACGCUGAGACGCGAAAGCGUGGGGAGCGAACAGG